CAUUGAGAAGCUGAAUAGGAAUUAGCGUUAGCCUUUUAAGCUAAAGAUUGGUGACUCCCGACCACCCUUAAUGA
rnacentral:tRNA from 1 species